UUUUUUUUUUUUUUGAGACGGAGUCUGGCUCUGUCGCCCAGGCUGGAGUGCAGUGGCCGGAUCUCAGCUCACUGCAAGCUCCGCCUCCCGGGUUCACGCCAUUCUCCGGCCUCAGCCUCCCGAGUAGCUGGGACUACAGGCGCCCGCCACCUCGCCUGGCUAGUUUUUUGUAUUUCUUAAUAGAGACGGGGUUUCACCGUGUUAGCCAGGAUGGUUUCGAUCUCCUGACCUCGUGAUCCGCCUGUCUCGGCCUCCCAAAGUGCUGGGAUUACAGGCUUGAGCCACCGCACCCGGCCGUCUUUAAAUUUGUUUAUUGUUAUGACGCACACAGGAUGCACAAAGCAGACCUGAAAUUCUCCCUAGAAAGGGAAGCUUCUACAGUCAGUCCUUGGCUGGCUCCUGGGAAUGUGGAUUUGGGGGCUAUUCCCUGACAACAGGGGCUUCCUGUGCUUAAACUGUGCAAACACGUGGUUCAUACCCACACCUGCCGUCCUGCUGGGAGCCCGGAAUUCGGGUAAGUGCCAGGCAGGGGUGCCUCUGUGGGCAAAGCACAACCCUGGGCACCGCGUCUCUCACAAGCUUCCUGCUGGAUGACACGCAUGGUCACAGCCUGAUGCUGAAGGAACCAAGCCCUUCCUGGGACUCCAUGGGGAGCAGCUCUGGAAGCUUCUGCCCGGUUUCCCUGGACCUCCGUCCUCGGCCUUCUCCCUCUACUAACCACGCUCCACGUGCUUUCUCUGUCACAAAUCAUGGCCGUCCUGUUGGGCACGAGCCCCAGGAGUCCUCCCAGUGAAUGGCGGAGUGGGGGUGCUCCUGGGGACCCCAAUGCUAGUUAUAGACAUGGGGUGGAAGGGAGUUAUUAAAACUGCUACCCAGGUUUCAAAGACAUUUCCAUUUUAAAGGCGCUUCUUAGUAAAGGGAAAGAUUUCAAUAGUGAGGAAAUGGAAGAAAAUAUUCCAGACACCACAGAGAGCACAGCCACAUGGCAGAGCCUUCUGUGUCCCACAGAGGAAGCAGAGGCGGGUGGUGGCGAGCACAGCCCAGCGGCUCACACCCCACCCAGGCUCUGCUCUUUCUGACCUUCUUCCCUGGGGCAGUUUCCUCCAGGGACUUGCUGCUUCUCGGCCGGACGGAUCCCGGGCACACCGGGGCCCCAUCCUGCACUGGCGGCAGCCUCUCCUGUUCUCAGGGCCCCACUGUGAACACUGGACUCCGUUCUCAAGGCCAGCAUGAUGGUAACUGGGUGGAUGGUGGCAGCAAAUGAACACUGCCCAGCAGGAUUUGCCUUUCCUUGGAGCUCAGCAGGGGGGCUCACAAACUCCCCCAGCUUCCUUUCCCCACCCACGCUGCCCAGAACCU
rnacentral:lncRNA from 1 species